AAUCGCACGUGCUGGGAGGGGCGGCGGCCAAGUGGUCCGGGAGCCGCGCGUUGGGGCGUAGGGGACCGUGGCUUGGAGCCCGGGAGGGCUGCGAGCCUACUCAAGCUGCUUUUCUUCUUCCAUCACCUUCUCCUUUCGCUGUGCACGGGCCACGCAGUGGAACUGCAGCGGUGAAAACGACUGAAUUUGGGGCCCUGUAACCUCCUGGCAACCCUGAGGAGCGGCAGCGGAAACACAAGUAAGAAUGGAGGGUGCUCUUCUCCCCAGAAGCUAACAAAGGGUCAGUCUUUCUCUGUGAAAUGGCUGUAGAAUAUAAACGGAGGCUCCUGGCAUUUCCCUACUGGCUCAGUUCAAGAACCACCCACUCCGAGUUGUCUUCCUGGAUUUUCUCAGCCCAAAGUAAUCCUUCUUUUUCUGAGGUACAAAAGAGGUUCAACAGUGAGUAUUGUAGAUGCUGAGCUUCAUCUGUGAACAAAACCUACCAAGUCUCUGACCACAUGGAAUUCAUGAGGUGGACGCAGGGCCACACAGGAACAACUCACAGCAAACUACAGGGACACUCAUGACAUGUCUGUGCCCAGGGAAGUCCACCAAGUCUCCAGGUCUGAGGCAUUUAUGAGACAAAACUCAAGUCUCAAAUGAAAGGUACUUAAAGCCAGGAUCCCUGAAGACUUCCUUAUGGAUUUUGUCUCUGGGAACACGGCUCAGCAGCAUGGACACAGAAACAGCAGUGGUGGCUGAUUGCAUUGAUCCAGAUUUGGAAGUUGUGUGGCAGUUAAAGCAGAAGGAUAAGGUACCUCUUCUUUUGUGGUGUUGGAGAAGACUCUUGAGAGUCCCUUGGACUGCAAGAAGAUCAAAUCAGUCAAUCCUAAAGGAAAUCAACCCUGAAAAUUCAUUGGAAGGACUGAUGCUGAAGCUGAAGCUCAAGCUUCAAUACUUUGGCCACCUGAUGUGAAGAGCCAACUCACUGGAAAAGACCCUGAUGCUGGGAAAGAUUGAAGGCAGGAGGAGAAGGGGACGACAGAAGACGAAAUGGUUGGAUGGCAACACCGACUCAAUAGGCAUGAACUUGGACAAACUCCGGGAGAUAGUGGAGGAUAGAGGAGCCUGGCGUGCUGGGAUCCAUGAGGUCUCAAAGAAUCAGACAUGACUUAGCGAUUGAACAACAACAAUCUCUUCUUCCACCACUUCCUCAACCUCACCCUGAGUGAUCUCCUCCACUCUUUUUUCAGUUUAAAAUGUUUUUAUUUGAUGCAUAUAGUUUUUUUCUUUUUAAAAAAGCAUACCAAAGGCUUAUACAAAAAAAAAAAAGGCUUAUACAAAGUGAUAAGCAGAAGACCCUAUGCCCACCCCUUUCAUGCUUCCCAAAAGCAAUCUCUCUUUGAAGUAUUCCUUAUGGUGUUUACCUCAGUCAUUGAAAAGAAUAUGAUUAUCCCACUGUUUCUUUGUUUUUUUUCCAGUAAAAUAUACAUUGCACAGAUUUACCAUUUCGACUAUUUUAUGUGUACAGUGGCAUUAAGCACAGUUGUGUUGUGGUACAGUCAUCACCACAAGCCAUCUACAGAAGUUUUUCAUUCUCUCAAAC
ensembl:lncRNA